rnacentral:lncRNA from 12 species
GGCAACCUGAUGGAAUCAAAUAACAAGUGUCAAGGUUGUCCCGCGGGACAACUGCGUACUAUUCUGAGUAAAGUGAAUUGAAAAUAGCACGUGGCACUGGGCUCUUGCUCAAGGCUACUAUUCUCCUUCAGCAGCACCGUAGAUGACAAACAGAAGAAAGUAGUAUCAGGAGCAGACACUCGUCAAUGCAGAGAAACCCUGACACUGCCUCCAAUCAAAGCGGAAGGAAAAGUCAUACUUAGCCUGGUCGGAUUUUCCCCGUUUUCCACAAAUCCCGCGGCAGCGUGGCGUAAUUGAAAACAGGGAGAGAGAGAGGGAAGGAAACAUUCAAGAUUCUGGAUGAGGGACAGAGCGGAUGGAGAAGGGGAAAGGCUGGAUACAAAGGGAGAGAGAGGAACUCAAGUGCUUGAACGCAGGAUCCAUCUGUUCGGUGUAUCGUCUGAUUUCCCCCUCCCAGCACCCUCCUCUUUCUCUUUUCCUCCCUCACCUCCCAUUAAAACCACGUAAGCCUGAUUUAUCAAGAAUUGGCUCUCAGAGCACCUGA